rnacentral:rRNA from 1 species
AUGGUGUUGCUUGACAUUAGGGGUAUGUUGCAGUCCAUGGGCAAAGACAUAGCUGAUUUCAUUCUUCCAUGCAUUGACGAUGCUUUCGACCCAACCGAGGGCGAGGCCAGAGAAGUGAUCGAGGAAUCCAACGUCGAUUUUGACAUCAACGACACUAAAUUGGCUUCGUCGCUAAACUUGGAGCAGAGGGCUGCAUACGACGAGAUACUAGCUUCUGUUGAAUGCGGUGAUGGGGGUGUGUUCUUUGUUGAUGGCCCGGGAGGUACAGGGAAGACCUUCCUGUACAGGGCGCUGUUCGCCAAGGUUCGAAGCGAGGGAAACAUCGCUAUCGCUACUGCAACGUCAGGCGUCGCCGCUUCUAUCAUGCCUGGAGGCAGGACUGCCCACUCGAGGUUCAAGAUCCCGUUG